rnacentral:rRNA from 1 species
UACGUAGGGGGCAAGCGUUGUCCGGAAUCAUUGGGCGUAAAGCGCGUGUAGGCGGUCCGGUAAGUCCGCUGUGAAAGUCGGGGGCUCAACCCUCGAAUGCCGGUUGAUACUGUCGGGCUAGAGUCCGGAAGAGGCGAGUGGAAUUCCCGGUGUAGCGGUGAAAUGCGCAGAUAUCGGGAGGAACACCAAUGGCGAAGGCAGCUCGCUGGGACGGUACUGACGCUGAGACGGCGAAAGCGUGGGGAGCAAACAGG